ACACCACAGUGCUUUGUCAGUGCAACUAGUCAGCUGUAAUUGUCUGUCUUUGCCUGCAGUCAUGGUAGCUCAGGUUUAGCCUCUCAGUCUUUGAGUUCAUGCUUAGUUAGCUACGAGAGAGAUUUUGUUUUGUACAGCUUUUAUUUUUUCAGGUACACUCUUUGCCACUUCACCUGCUCCUGUGUACCCUCUACCUCCACAUCACAGCCCAGAUUGCAACUUCAUCAGCCGUAGAUGACCUCUUCAGCAAUCUUGCCAUCACUGCCCAGUCUUUGCUUCCCUCAUUCAGCUUCAUCAGCCCUGGACCCCUUCAUCAAGGACUCAUCAGCCAACACCUCCACCACCAGUGUCUGAACUCCACUGGGGGGAUAGAUCUUGCUGCCGCUCAGGGCAGACAUCCUUCGAUCUCCUUGUCUCCCUGUAGAGUUCAAGCAUCAGAAUGACACAGACAAUAAUUCAAUAUCACUUAAUCUUUGUAGAUUAAUAUGAUCUCUACUUGUCUCUUCUGAGUGAAGUAUGUAUAUCUGUACAUGCAAGGAUAAAAAUGUUUCCAUUACAUUUGACCUUAA